rnacentral:lncRNA from 1 species
GCCGCCAAAAGCCUCAGAUGCAUUGCCUUUGCUCACAAAAAAGUCAUAGAAGAAAACAUGCAAGUCUUUGAGAAGCUUGAAGAAACUGGAUUCACCUUGUUGGGGAUUGUGGGAUUGAAGGACCCGUGUAGACCAGGGGUUAGAAGAGCUGUAGAAUCAUGUAAGAAAGCAAAAGUGAGUGUUAAAAUGAUCACUGGUGACAAUCAGCACACAGCAAGAGCUAUAGCUAUUGAAUGUCGAAUUCUUAAUCCAGAAGAGGACAUGGACAACAAAGCAGUGGUAGAAGGUGCUGAAUUCAGAAAUUACUCACCUGAAGAGAGAAUGGCAAGGAUAGAAGACAUCAGAGUAAUGGCAAGAUCAUCCCCAUUUGACAAGCUUCUGAUGGUACAGUGCUUGAAAGAGAAAGGUCAUGUGGUAGCAGUCACCGGUGAUGGCACAAAUGAUGCCCCUGCUCUUAA